GCCUGCGCGGUGGUGAGCGGCUCAGCUGUUGGGGGCGAGGUAGACAGAGCUGAGACUGGUCUAAAGAGCUGUAGCGCGCUCUUCCUUGCUUACGGUGGAACCAUCCAGUUUUCAGAGCCUACCAUUCUGCCGCCUCGGGGCGGCGGCAGUGGCAGUUGUGCCCGUGUGUAGAAGGAACCGUGCUGUGGUGGUCUGGAAAAGUUCUCUGGUGAUCUGCCCCCACCAUGAACAAAUUCCGUGAGGGCCCCGCCCUUGCUCAGCAACUACGGCUCGGAGAGGGCACCGUGUGAUUCGGCCGGCAGACGCGGGGUUCCUAAUGACACAUGGCCUAAUGAAUGAUACAAAAGGCCGGCUGCGGUGGCUCACUCCUUUGAGAGGCGGAGGCGGGAGGAUCUCUUGAGUCUAAGAGUUGGAGACCAGCCUGGGCAACUUAGUGAGACGCUGUCUAUAAAAAAUGAGACUUGUUGUUACUAUCUUAUUGGAUGGAGACCUUUGAACAGGCCUGAAACUUUAUAGUCCUGUUAUCACUGACACUAAGACAUAAAGCAAUUUUGAGAGCUUGCAAAAACAGCUUGCAAGGACAAUGAAGCUUCCGAUUUUCAUAGCAGAUGCAUUCACAACAAGAGCAUUUCGUGGGAAUCCCGCUGCUGUGUGCCUCCUAGAAAAUGAAUUGGAUGAAGACAUGCAUCAGAAAAUUGCAAGGGAAAUGAACCUCUCUGAAACUGCUUUUAUCCGAAAAAUGCACCCGACAGACAACUUUACACAAAGUUCCUGCUUUGGACUAAGGUGGUUUACACCAGCAAGUGAGGUCCCACUCUGUGGUCACGCCACCCUGGCUUCUGCAGCUGUGCUGUUUUACAAAAUAAAAAACAUGAACAGCAUGCUCUCAUUUGUCACUCUGAGUGGGGAACUAAAGGCCAGACGAGAAGAGGAUGACAUCAUUCUGGACUUGCCUCUUUAUCCAGCCCACCCCCAGAACUUCCAUGAAGUAGAGGACUUGAUAAAGACUACCAUAGGCAACACGCUGGUCCAGGACGUCUGUUAUUCUCCAGACACCCAAAAUCUCCUCGUCCGCCUAAGUGACGCUUAUGACAGGUCAUUUCUGGAGAACCUGAAAGUGAACACGGAGAAUCUGACGCAAGUUGAAAACACAGGGAAGGUGAAAGGACUUAUUCUUACCCUCAAAGGAGAGCCCGGUGGGCAGACCCAAGCAUUUGACUUUUACUCCAGAUAUUUUGCACCAUGGGUUGGUGUGGCUGAAGACCCAGUGACAGGGUCUGCACAUGCUGUUCUCAGCAGCUACUGGUCCCAGCACCUGGGGAAGAAAGAAAUGCAUGCAUUUCAGUGUUCCCGCCGAGGAGGAGAGCUGGGGAUUUCACUUCGUCCAGAUGGAAGGGUUGACAUUAGAGGAGGUGCAGCUAUCGUUUUAGAGGGCACGCUGACAGCCUAGAGGUGGUUGUGCUGUGACGCCACGGUCUCUAACCACCAAGUAUUUUCUGCAUAAAAAGAAAUCCUUUGGCCAGAACUGAUCACAUAUCUCCAUCUAACAGCAAAGGAGCUGAGAAAUGCAACAGCUCAUGGAUAUAUUCUGUGUACGGAACCCAAAAGGAAUUAAGGGUGGCUUCUGGAAGCUGAAGGCAGCCUGUAGCCAUUAGCCAGCAGGAAAAUGAAGCUCUCAGUCCUAUGAAAGCAAGGACCUGAAUUUUGCCAACAAUCUGAGUAAAUUUGGAAGCAGAUCCUUCCCCAGUUGAUCAUUCUUAUGAGACUGAGACCCCAGCCCUUGCUAAUACUUUGAUUGCAGCUUUGCAGAGAACUCAGUUGUGCCUGGACUUCUGAUCCACAGAAAUUGUGAAAUAAUAGAUGUGUGUUGUUUUUAGCUACUAAGUUUGUGGUAAUGUUCGUGCAACAAUAGAAAACUACUAUCCAAAACAUUAGGAACAGUUACUUAAUAUUAUUGAAUAUCCAGUUAAUGUUCUCAUUCCCCAAUUGCCUUACACGUUUUUUUCCAGUUUUUUUUUUGUUGUUGUUGUUAUUGUUUUUUAAGACAAGGUCUGACUCUGUCACCUAGGCUGGAGUGCAGUGGCACAAUCUCACCUUGCUGCAACCUCCACCUCCCAGGUUCAAGUGAUUCUCUUGCCUCUCAAGUAACGGGACUACAGGCAUGCACCAUCAUGCCUGGCUAAUUUUUGUAUUUUUAGUAGAGAUGGGGUCUCACCAUGUAUACCAGGCUGGUCUCAAACUCCUGAUCUCAAGUGAUCCACCUGCCUCAGCCUCCAAAGUUCUGGGAUUACAGGCGUGAGCCACCGUGCCCGGCCUUUUCACAGUAUUUUCCUAAGACAUGCUGACUUUAGCCUGCCCUUGUGUGAGAUGUGAGUCCACUGUAUGUAAUCUGCCUCAUAGCACAGUCUGGAUUCUCCUUUCCAUGCCUUAGCCUUUCUCUCAGAUAAGACCUGCCUGGGCCCUGCCAAAGCUUCACUCCCGGAGCAAGGUUUUCCAGAGCUUCCAUGCUAACCAGUCCUGUCUUUCCACUUGGAUCAGAUUAUAUUAAGCCACUCUGUUCCUUUAAUGUUGAUAGACAUUGCCCAAUGUCCCAGGGAGGUGGGAGUGAGGGGGAACAUGUGUCCCCCCGCUGAGAACCACUGCUUUAAGUUUAUCUCUCUUUUUUCUUUCAUUUAUUUGUUUUGUGGCUUAACUCUCAGAGAGUGAAUUGUUUUCCGCUUUCAAGUUCUUUUCAGGAGAGGAAUCCCCGCUGCUGUCCAUCCCUGUAUCCUGUGAGUUAGGUACCCAGCUGGGAUCUGAAUUCACACCCUGUGGUCAGGUCUGUUGUAAAACAAUCUUACAUGGUUGGUAAAAAGCAAUGUAAGACACCCUGCUAGAAGCUGGCAGGGUAGAGACCUGGGGGGCAGGCGGAAAAUGUGAUUAGAGAGGGAGCUUACCGGGCUCUCAAGGGACUCACGCUAACUGUGGAGACCAGGCUCAUCCUUUUAUGAAAAGAUAAUGAGCUCUUGUGUAGGUCUGUGAUUAAGGCCUACAUAUAUGGCACAAACACUGAGGGUGAUGGCAUAGCCAGGGGAAUACUGAAGAAAAGGGCUUAGAAAGAUCAGGGUAUGAGCAAAGAUGCAGAGAUGAAUGCUCAGGGCAUGUGUAGUUUUUGUCUAGGCUUUCUACAUCUAGAAAAUAGUUGUUAGGUUCUGGGGCCACACAGAGAGAAAUUUAACAAAACAGCAAUAUUUAAAACUAACAAUCCAGCUCAAUAGAUAACAUGUAAACAUAAGGACAAAUAAACAAUACUGAAAGUUAUUUUUACUGGUUUUUUUUUUGAAACUAUUAAUAUCUUAAAAAAAGCCUUAGAAAUCAUAGCAAUGGUGAGGCAUUCCCAGUUUAUGAGAAAGGGUGGAAUCAUGGUUCUCUGACGAUCAGCAUCAGCACCACCUGGGAGCUUGUUAGAAAUGUGAAUUCAUGGCUGUGCAUGGUGGCUCACGCCUAUAAUCCCAGCACUUUGGGAAGCCGAGGCAGGCGGAUCACCCGAGACCAGGAGCUUGAGACCAGCCUGGCCAACAUGGUGUGAUUCCAUCUCUAUGAAAAAUACGAAAGUUAGCCGGGCAUGGUGGUGUGUACCUGUAAUCCCAGCUACUGAGGGGUUCUGAGGCAGGAGAAUCACUUGUACCCAGGAGGUGGAAGUAGAGAUUGUGCCACUGCACUCUAGCCUGGGUGACAGAGCAAGACUCUGCCUCAAAAAGAAAAAACAAGAAAAGAAAAGAGAAAUGUACAUUCAUAGGCCCUAUCCUAAACCAACUGAAUUAGAAGCUCUGGGGAGGAGGCCCAGCUAUCUGGGUUGUAACAAGCCAGCCAGGUGAUUUUGGAGUACGCUUAAAUUCGAGAACCAUUAGGUAUUUAGCCAACCAUUUUCUUCACUCCUGAGUGACAAUUCUUGUGCAGCUCAAUCACUUUUAAAUGUGCAUUGCCCCAUAAUCUCCCUGACUAUACCAACAUGCUUGCUGCUUAGUGAGCUUUUAGAGAAGCUUUUAUUUUUUUAAAUUUUUUAUUAGCUUCUAGUUCUGUUCAGCAUAGAAAAAUUAGCUGUGCUCAGGUGGGAGCUGUUCAGUAAUGUGUUGGUAAUAAACAGAUUAGUUAAUCAGCCAUGAUUUAUUAAUGAUGAAUUAAUUAUACCUGAUUGUGCAGUUCUGCUAGCUAAAUGGAGCUUUAAAGGAGUUGUUUUAUUAAUCAUCAUGGUGCUAAUUGCAGAGUCUUACAGAAGGAUCACUAAUUAAACAUGCAACCAUAUGCAGAACAAGUUGGACUGCUGAGACCUGCAAGAACAAAAAAAUACUCAUUUUAAGGGAGCCAAAACAAACUUUAUUUUAUGCAAUAUUAGAGAGUUGACUUGGCAAUAUUAAUUAAUCACUGCACAUUAAUAUUGUACUUUUUUCCAGCAGGAAUUGAUCCAUAUGUCAAAACUGAUGUAGUAUUCUAGUGAGAUCUGUUAUAGGGGAAGUAUUGCUCAAUUAUAUUUUCUGUUUACACAUAUGCAAACUACUAUAACAGAGACCAUUGGUUAACUGGAUGGGACUUAGAGAAGAAAGAGUGAAAAAUUACAUACCAGGUCUUCGUACUUUAUAUAGAGCAUCAAGUGAGUGGGAGAUUGUGAAUUCCUAGAGACCAGGAACACUCCUGCUUGUUGAAUCACAAAAAGAGGAUUUAUAGCCUGGUGCUAUUGGAGCGAAGAAAGAAAUGAGACUGCCCAGUUUAAAAGGUAUCAGAUAAACUCAAAGACAGGUAAAUACAGGGAAAAUGUUUUCCAAUUUUAGCUCAAGGUAGAUGAAAGGCAGUUCAUGACUUUUUGUUGAUAACAAACAUUUGUCAUUUGGGGUUAUUCAGCAUCCAAACACCAUUGUUCUGGCACCUGAAAUUGGGAAAUUCUCAUCGUGAGCAGUCUGAAGACGUAGUACCCAACUUCCAUCAUGGAAGCCAAAGUGGCCAGAUGCCAUCUCUUUCUGCAAAUCAGAGAGUGGGCAUGCUAUUCAUGCUCAACCAAAUCAGAGAUGUUGUCCUGGGAAUUUGGUAGCUUCUCAGAAUAAUGGCUGAAAGAAUAGUAUUUGUUUAAUUUUGGUCCAGUAGGUAAUGGAAUCCAGUUUGUGUUGUAUGAACAUAUGAUAAACGUGUGAUGAUGAGGAGGAUGAUGAUAGUGAUGACAAACUUGAAGGUUGUCUUGAUUUUUCUGGAGUCCUCCUUCUUGGAUAUUUCCUCUCCUGUUCAUUGGUUUAAGAAUGAAUAUGUGAUACAAUUCUGGCCAAUGAGGCAUGAGGGUAAGUUUUCAGUUCAGGGAGUCAAGUGAGGAAAACGGUGGAAUGAAACAGCAUUUGACAUGUAUAGGUUUACUUAACCCCCUGAUUUUCAGUAAGGCAUCCCUCCUUCAUCUGUGCUUUGUGCCUUUGAGUCUUGAGAUAUUCUGUUUUAUAUUCUCCAAAGAAAAAAACCUCUAGUCUUUUUUCCCAUGGUGGGGCAAGGAAAUUGCCCAAUGUGUGGGAGCUGUUCAGCACAUAUGUAUUAUAUUAUUAUUAUUAUUUUUUGAGAUGCAAUUUUGCUCUUGUUGCCCAGGCUGAAAUGCAAUGGCACGAGCUUGGCUCACUACAACCACCACCUCCUGGGUUGAAGUGAUUCUCCUGCUUUAGCCUCCCAAGUAGCUGGGAUUAUGGGCAUGCACCACCACACCCAGCUAAUUUUUGUGUUUUUAGUAGUGAUGGGUUUCACCAUGUUGGUCAGGCUGGUCUUGAACUCCUGACCUCAAGUGAUCCACCCACCUUGGCUUCCCAAAGUGCUGGGAUUACAGGCAUGAUCCACCUUGCCCAGCCAAUAUUAUGUGUAUUUUAGCAUAAGUAUACAAUGUGUAUCAGCCAUCGAAAUCAAGAUAUAGAAUGUUUCCAUCACCCUAGAAGGUUCCCUCAUGCUCUUUCUUGGCAAAACAAAAGAAAACAAAACAAAACAACUGUCCAUAUCUCACUCCCUAAAAUUAUCACUAUUCUGAAACUUCUGUCACUAUAAAUUAAUUGCUUAUUCAUGGGCCUUUUAUGUUUUUUUGAGACUGGGUCUUGCUCUGUCUCCCAGGCUAGAGUAGAAUGGCUGGAUCAUGGCUCACUGCAGCCCCCACCUUCCAGGCUUAAGCAAUUCUCCCACCUCAGCCUCUUGAACAGCUGGGACUACAGUAGGUGCAUGCCAUCACACCUGGCUAAUUUUAGUAUUCUUUGUAGAGACGAGGUUUCACCAUGUUGCUUAGGCUGAUCUUGAACUCCUGAGCUCAAGCAAUCUGCCUGCCUUGGCCUCCCAAAGUGCUGAAGUUACAGAUGUGAGUUACUGCCUCCAGCCUAUUCUUCAGCUUUUAUAAAUAGAUUCAUAAAGUAUAUACUAUUUUGUUUUGGUUUCUUUCAUUCAACAUGAUGUUUUUGAGAUUUAUACAUGAUGUUGAAUUUGUAUUCUUUUAUUGCUGUAUAGCAUUUCAUUGUGUAACUGUAUUACACUUUAUUUUUACCUUUUGUUGGUGAUCAUUUGGGUUAUUUCUAGUUUUUGGUUAUAAAUACAUUCUUGUACAUGUCUUUUGGUAGACAUAUACAUGCAUUUACUUUGAAUAGCAUACCUAGGAGUAUAAUCGAAUAAUAGGUUUAUUAUAUGUUUAAAUUUUAUACUGCCAAAUGGUUUUCUAAUGCAGUUGAAUGAAUGUUACACUUUUCACCAGUAACAUCUGAGAGUUCUACUUUUUCUACAUUCUCACCAGCACUUGGUAGUGUCACUCUUUAAUUUUAGUCAUUUUGGGAGAGGGUACUGCUAUCGCAUUGUAGGUUUUAAAUUGCAUACCCCAGUGAGUUUUGGUGUUGUACAGCUUCAUCACAGGUGUGUUGGACAUUUGGAUUCUUCUUUUGUAAAAAUGCCAGUUCAAAUUUUUGUCUACUUCAUAAUUGAGUUGUCUUUCUAUUGAUUUGUAGGGGUUCUUUAUAUAUUUUGUAUAUGAAUCCUUCAUCAGAUGUAUAUACUGUGAACAUUUUCUCCUAGUUUGUGGCAUGCUCAUUCACUUUCUUAAUGAAAUAUUUUAAUAAUGUAAAUUAAUUUUCAUAAAGCCUAAUUUAUCAAU